rnacentral:misc_RNA from 1 species
UUUUUUCCACUUAAUUAAAAUCUAGCGUUUUCGAAGCCGUGCAGAUCGCUGACUUUAUUCAACGACUUCUUCAUCAGGGCUACCUUAGCCAGCUUUUCAGCCGCUCUCCAAGCUGAAGUAGGCGUGAGCGGCUCUCCAUUCUCGUCAAUCAUAACCAUUGUCUCCCUCUCGCUUCCUCUCCGCCGUUGGAUCAUCAUCUGCUGCUGGUGCUGCUCUAGCCGAUGCUGUUUAAUCCGUUGUAACUCCGCAAGCUCAGCCUCUAACCCUCUAACGUACUCAUCAGCGCAUAUGGAGCUGGAUUGUAAUAUCAGAGCCCGAGACGAUGCCAGCAAGUGGUGCGCGCUUGUGAAAUCGUUGUGCACCACCAGUCUUCGAGUUUCGGCUAUGGCCCGAGUGGUGAGGAAAUGAUUCCUCAGACGUUCGAUUUUGGGUGCCGAAGAUCGCACGGCGUGAGGACGGGGGACGAGUAGGGCCCGAUCGCGGCCGUAUACAACCUCCUGGGUGGCGGGGUCCUUGUAAAGGCAACGAACAGAUAUCACGUGGUGGAACCCAACAGCUGAAGAUGGGACCCUCAACUCCACCAACAAUUCCCUCUCUUCUUCCGCGUACAAAUCGCCUAGCCGCACCGAGCCAGAGCUGAGAACGGUGGGCCUAGCGUUGCACGAAUACACGGCUAAUAUCUCAGCUGGCGCUGAGCCGGAAGCAAAGCUAAGCUGAACUCUCAAGUCUUGUACUACCACACUCAGCAAACCACCCACGCAUUUAGCAAACGCGUCCUCAGCCGGCUCGUGGCUGUAGCCGCCGCUUUGACCAAACCCAAACGCAUGAACUGGGAUCUCAAUAUGAGCAAAUCGGGUGGACGAAACAUGGCCUGAGGCAUGCCGUUGAUUCCCAGUAUUGCUUUGGACUCUUUCAUCCUGACCGUCGGAUAGCAGUAUGAUGCUCGCAACUGGAUUCCGUUCUCUCCUGUCUUCGAGAACCUUACUUGCUUUCCUCAAAGCAUCUCCUACGCUGGUCCCUUGACCACACACGAGACGGUCAAUGAUGCGGCGAGCCGACCGCUGGCCGUGAGCCGUCAUUCUCCUCAGAGGUAACAACCUCUUAGGACUGGACGAGAAAGCCACAAUCGAUAGCCGAUCAGCCGAGCCGAGAGACGAAAUCACCAAUCUCAUGGCGCGUUUAAGCAUCUGCAAUUUAGCUCCAGUCAUGCUUCCACUUACAUCAAGAACCGUGACCAAAUCAACUGGCGCCCGAUGCAAAGGGUCCAAAAGCGGUGCCGUAUUGCUACUGCG